UUGAUAGAUCAGUUCGCCACCGACGGUGAUUAAGGAGACUUUCAGAGUAUCCAAACAUUGUCUGUUGAGAAACAACUGGUGAUUUCGUGUGACAAGUUUGAAGGAAUAUGAAGUGCCUGGUUAUUAUCUUGAUAACUGUGGGUCUUGCGUGGACCAUGCCCCUGGAACAUGAUCCUGAGAAGAUGGAAGACAUGAUAACUGAUACGCAGCUUAACGACCCACAUUCCAUGACACUUGGCGACAGCGCUGGAGAAGUUGGCCAACAAGGAACCAACUUGGGCCAUGUCCAUGUAGGAUAUGGCCGCCGCCAAUACAGGCUAUUUGGCCACAUCGGUACAAAAGUUGGCCAACAGGGAACCAACUGCAACUCGGGCAAUGUCGGUGUUGGAAAUGGAUAUGGAUAUAGAUAUGGCCGAAAAUGACUGAACUGAAGAUUUCUUUUCGAGUUUUACCCUGAGCUUGUAAAACGUUUUUCAGUUGUAGUUUAGUAGAUCGAAAAUGUAAGGAGCAAUAACUGUAAAGGAUGCAGGGUAAUAAAGUGUUUAAAAAGCAGAGUGAACUGUUUUCAUUGAUCAGUAAUAUGAGAUGUCAGACGCCUUCUCGCCCUAGUCCCUGAGAGGCGGGGUCUCCAGGGGCCUGGGGUGAAAGACUAAUAUUAAUAGGGACUUAGCAUGGAAGGGCCGGGUAGUACAGGUUACCCCUCACAAUUACUUAAUCAAGAAUUAAAUUCAAUAUUUAUGAGUAAUAGACCACCAUUAAAUUUCCCAUUACAAGCUCCACUCCCCACUCAGCCCUCCUUAAUUUCGGCUGCCCACUCGGUAUGGUAUUAACAACCCUUGACAUAAAUGUAUCACAAAAUUUUGAACACUAUUUUAUACCAAAUCCAAUCCACAUCGGAAUAAAUUUCUGACAUUUUAUGAAACAUUUGUUGGUGCCGUUCAGGCUUCCAUAAAUUACAACAAGCUUGGAAAAACCUUACAACCGCGCGAGUCACAUGGAUAUCGGCGGUUUGUGUGACCAGUUAUUAUUUUCCCUACCAAAACAGUAU